rnacentral:tRNA from 1 species
CCAUUGAUAUUUCAGAUCUUAAAUUUAGGUUUGUGGUACCUUCUAAUUUCAAAAUUACGAAGUAAUAGA